rnacentral:rRNA from 1 species
UACGAAGGGGGCUAGCGUUGCUCGGAAUUACUGGGCGUAAAGCGCACGUAGGCGGCUUUCUAAGUCGGGGGUGAAAUCCUGGAGCUCAACUCCAGAACUGCCUUCGAUACUGGAGAGCUUGAGUCCGGGAGGAGGUGAGUGGAACUGCGAGUGUAGAGGUGAAAUUCGUAGAUAUUCGCAAGAACACCAGUGGCGAAGGCGGCUCACUGGCCCGGUACUG